CGAGCGAGGCCUCCAGGUCCAGGGUGCCCACCUCUCUUUCUCUCUCGCCUCCCACCCUCACCCUCCCGAUCUGGUCGCCGCCCACCCUCACCCUCCCGAUCUCGUGAGCUGCAGGGGAAAUCGGCCUCCAGAAUCACCACCACUGAUGCCGCUUGCUUCCCCUCCGCAACCUGCCACUUGCGACGGACCGAGGUCGCCGAUGUGUGCUCGACGCAGCCGCCCGGAGCUACUUCGCCCUUGACGUCGAGGAGGGCGUGGACUUGAUCGAGCUCCCGGCCGCCCUGCUCCUCCACAGACUAUCUCUAUCCUCAGUCGUCCUCUCUUCUAACAGAUCGCGUGCCAGCCCUUGCGAUCUUGGAUCGGGCUAUGUGAUUGAGCAACGGGGCAUGGUGAUUUUGGUGACGGAGGGAGAUCCCUGAUGCCAUCGCCGCCAUGGCUGAGAUGAUAGAGAAGAAGGCCGACAACCUGGAUGCCUUCAAGUAGUCCGUCGAUCUAGUACUACCACGACCUCUGCUCUCUUCUCCUCCCUCUAGGUUUGGGUGCAAGGAUAGCCUAGGCGUGGUGGUGCUUGGGGAAAUUUUAAAGCUUGGGCCUUUACGGAGUAGGACUGAUCUACGGCUUUAGGAGUAGUUGCUUUAGAUUGGUGUUCAUGUACAGAUUGCUAUAUGAGAAUAUACUGCGUACUGGUCAAAUCUCAAAACAAAUGGCCCAUUCUGACCAUAACUAUUCCAAAAGCAUUGAUAGAAGUUCAAUGACAACAUUGAUGCCAAUACUAUAUGAUAGUUCAAUUCUCUUGCUGUAGUAAUGUCUUAAAUGGGAGAAUGUUUUGAUGAUGUUGUUUGCUUUCUGUUCUCAACUUUUCAUCAUUUUAGAUCACUUUAUGGAUAGUUCAAUACUAGAUUUUUGGGAUUAACUGUAACAUUAUGUGAAUAUGUUCAUACAGUUCUAAAAUCAAUGUUCAUCAGCAGCUAGCCUUCUAACUAAAUAAUAUUUUCAUAAGGGCUUCUCUAAACUGGUACGCUCUCUCGCCGGUAUGUGUUUUGAGGCAUAGGAUGGUGGGGCACUCUGCAAGGUCGUCUUCGGUCAUGGCUACAACUUUUAAUGAGAAGGGGAUUUAUGCUUGGCAGACUGGCCCCUGGUGAGCAAGUCAUUGUCGCCGCCUUUGCUUCCCAGGUUGCCUUGGCUUUGUAUUGGCGUGUGCUGCUCCUGCAGCCCCUGCCGUCCGCCUCCUUAGGUUGGGCACCACUGCCACUACUGAAGUUUCCAUUGCGUCCAUAAGCCAAGGCAGCUUACUUGCGAGGCACAGAUUGCACCAUGGGCGACAUCUUGCUAUGCAUGGCCACUGAUGCCAUCAUGCGUAGGUGGGUUCCAGUUUGACGACCUGUCUACUAAGUCUCCAUGCAUGAUCUGCUUCUUUCCUGUACUUCCUCCAUCUACUGUUACACUAUCUUGCAAAUACGGCUUACCCUGUUUGAUGUCAUGUUGCUUCGUCAGUUGUGUAUUGCCCCUAACUAUGGCGUAUCGUACAACCAUCCGAGUCAUGUCAUAAAUAAACUCUGUUUUUUCUGAUGUGCCAGGAUGAUUUACUAAAUUUAGCUCUCAGUGUCAUGUUCCAUUUAUUUUAUAGUGCUUUCACAGGGGCUAAUUGGUAGACUGUUAUACGGGAAGCUAGAAAUUUUCUGAUCCAUUCUUGUGCCUAAUGGCAGGCAAGUCUGCACUUAAAAGUUGAUAGGUUGAACAAGCAGUUGAGAGAAGCCGUUGUCUGGCUAUGGGUAUUUUCUUGCCUAUUUGCUCAAUUAUUAAUUGAAUGGAUAAUUGUGUCCCCUCAAUAUUGUAUCAUAUAAUUUUUUUUAUAUCAACUGAAUUAGUUCUCUAAAUCCGUUGAUAUUUUGUGAAGCUUGAAGCUUUAUUUCUCGCGCUUCAUGACAUUAAUUUUGUGUUCAGAUUCAGGAUUUAUUUCUUGUACUGGAUGAUAGCAGGGAUUAGUGGAUUACUGCCACACGCUAAUGUGAUCAUCCAUGUCUGAUCAGGUGCCUUAGGUUUGUGAUAAGGAAGUAUGCAAAUUGUUCUGGACGCAGAGUCCGUGUUCGACCAGGAAUUGCAAAAUUGAGAUAUACGUAGUGGGGCAGACCUGUCAGGUGGGCAAGGACCGUGACGGCCGUUUGUACGGCGUCUACUGAUCAGAGCAGAGCUGUGGCUCGAGAUGUGGACGCCGUCAUGGUCCACGGUUCAGAACUGCUGCUUUCCAGUUAGUUCGACAGACACCGAGUAAAUGCAGUGGUGGGUAGCUGGGAGAGGCUGUGUCCUAUCUCACGAGUGUGGAGCUUUCCUAUCUGAACAAUGGCGAGACGGCGGAGCCACCGUGUGCGAGGAGGCGAUUGCUGCUACUCGCGAAGAUGGAGUUCUUGAUGCAACCGAUUAGCACAUGCGGAUCGGUUUGGUUUUUGUGUUAGUUUCUGGGCAUUAUUGUAGAUCUCAUCUCGGCGUGGUUUUCCUUUUGCAGCUACCGGUGGAGAUGCAGGACUGUGCUGGAGGAGGAUGUGAACGAUAGCGACAUACCCUUGGAGCACCGCCUGCCGGCGAGCUGACGGCCUUGUCUGCAUCAAGUGCGGGCAUGCAGAUCUGUGUGGCAGAGGUGGCUCCACAGGAGGCAGCUGUAGAAACAGCUCAAGCAUCCGAGUAUUCAUUGGAGCAAAAUCGACCCAAAAAGUCCAGGUUGGACGCGUAGAGUAAGGAUUGGUACUGCUGAGCCUGAUAGAAAACCAUUCCCAGGAAGGGUUUCAGCAGUGGAAUGUUUUGCUGAAAACCCCGACAACAAUGUCACUACCAAAACUAGGGAUUAACUUUGAUACACUGGGAGCAGUCUAAAUGUGCAGAGGACAAAAUACAUGCAGGAGAUGGUCUGCGGUUGUGCGAGGGGAAGCUAAUAGUUGAGAACACGCACUCUUGCCGUUUGUGAAUGCCCUGCUCUCAUAGGACUAUUACGUUCAAAGGACAAUGGUUGGUACAUGGCCGAGCAUCACGAGGAGCACAACCACUCGCUUUCUCCCACUUAUGGUCAGACAAUACAUUAGAUGUCACACAAACAUAUAGAUGUGUACAACAGGGAUUUGGUGAAAAACCUGCAGCAGAAAAUUGUGAACCUAGCAAAGGUAUACAACAUUAUCGGUUUUGGGAAAAUGGAUAAUGUGCCUUGCAAAAAGAGCUCUAUGGAACCUGUGUGAAAAUAAGCCGUGAACAAGCAGAAGAUGAGACAAUGAAGGUGUUUCAAGAGCUUGGUUCCAAAGAUCAACACUUCACUUAUCGGGUUCAAGCUGACAAGGAGGGGAGGAUCAACAGUCUGAAGUGGGCUAAUGUGAACAACAAAUUGCAGUACACCUUCGGAACAACAUAUAGGAUAAAUCUAAACGACAUGCCUUUUGGUCUAUUUGUUGGAGUGAAAAAUCAUUUACAGAGCAGGCGUGCUUGUUUGUGAUGAGACAGUUGAAACAUUUGUGUUAAAGAACUAUGUGCCAACAGGGGUAUUCUGCGCCAAGAUGAGUAGUACACAACACAGCAAGAGUGCAAAUCAUAUAUUAAAGAACUAUGCGCCACCAGGAUGCCCCAUGCUUAUGUUUGUGAGAAAUUAUAUGAGGUUGCAGUUUGACAGGGAAGUAGAAGAGAAGUACGAGGAGAAGCGGACGAGAAUUGUAAUAUGGUUUCAUUAUUUACUAUACAAAUAUUUAGUUGUGUUUGACAUGGACCAUCAUGGGUGCAUUGCAAGGUUUGAUAACUGUUGCCAAUUCAGAAGGGGGAUUUGCCUCAUUGAAGAUACAGAUAAAUGAUUUUCUGACC